rnacentral:rRNA from 1 species
GACCCCAGGUCAGGCGGGGGCUACCCGCUGAGUUUAA